CGCCGACCUUUCGUCCCUCCCGACAGAGGUUUACGACCCGAAGGCCUUCAUCCCUCACGCGGCGUUGCUGGGUCAGGCUUUCGCCCAUUGCCCAAAAUUCCCGACUGCUGCCUCCCGUAGGAGUCUGGACCGUGUCUCAGUUCCAGUGUGGCUGAUCAUCCUCUCAGACCAGCUACCCAUCGUCGCCUUGGUGGGCCGUUACCCCGCCAACUAGCUAAUGGGACGCGGGCUCAUCUAUGGGCGAUAGCUUCCAAGGAGAGGCCAUCUUUGACCGCUGCAUCCGAAGACGCUGUGGUCUCAUCUGGUAUUAGCCCCAGUUUCCCGGAGUUAUCCCAGACCCUCAGGUAGAUUACCCACGUGUUACUCACCCGUGCGCCGCUCGAGUACUCCCGAAGGAGCCUUUCCGCACGACUUGCAUGUCUUAGGCACGCCGCCAGCGUUCGUU
rnacentral:rRNA from 1 species